AUGCGGGAAGAUGGUCAGCUAGAAAGAGUGAUGUCUAAAGCCAGCAGGCGUGGGAGCAGGCCAGAGGGCGGGCAGGACUUAGAAGCCGGGGUGCGGGGGAGAGCGGGAAGAAGCUGCCUCCGCACAGGUCGGGACAGAGGGGGCGUGGACGCGGGAACACCCGGCGCAAAAGCCUCUGACCUCCGGAAGGCAGAUGCUCCUGAAGCUCGCUUGGCCCGCGGGGAGAAGGCAGCGUCCACCAGGGCCUUGAAGAACGGGAAAGGAGGCCCGCGCCGGGGACAGCUGGGGAAAGAACCCCAGGCCGGGAUGCGAGGGCGCAGGCCACGGGAGGGGACCGUGGCCCGUCUUGGAACCUCUGCAACUGCUCCUUCCUCCGGUGCAAACCCUCGGGGCGCCGGGUCCCUGGGCCCAACCCCGCACACUCCGGCUCCAUCGCCCGGAGCCGCCCCGCCCCCCGCGGGAAGCCCCCCAAGCCCGUCCGGCGCAUUCUUCUGCGGGGCCGUCCUUCCGACCGUUCUCCGCGCGUCCGUCUGUCGGUCUUUCUUCUCUCGCCUCCAAAGCCCCGGCCCCCAUUCAUUCCCGAGGCCUCUGCCCUCUCCUCCGCGCCGUCCGGCUCGGCGAGCAGCUGCUAUGCUAAUGAGGGCGGGGGCCGGGCCCGGGGUGCGGGGGGAGGGGCCGGGCUGCGGGGUACGCACGGGGGAGGGGCCGGGCCGCGGGGGGCGCGCGGGGGGAGAGGGAGGGCCGCGGGGGGCGCGCGCGGGGGACGGCCGCUCACAAAGCCCCAUCUCUGCAUUCAACGCCGGCCGGGCCACUCUGGGCCCCCGCGCACAGGGCGGGGACGGUGGGGGCGGGGCGCGGGCGCACCCGGAAAGCGCCGGGGCCGCGAGGGGCGAGGGCCGAGUCGAGGGGCGCUCCCAGCCCGCAGUGCCGCGCACCCACUCGCCCCAGCGCUCGGGUCGCGCCCGGGAUGCGCGGCUCAUUCCAGGGACCCCGCCCCGCCCACCAGACGCCGCCGCGCGUGGGGCUCCAGUGCGCCCGGCGGGUGGGGAGGCGGCCCCGACGCAGCAAGGACCUCGCCGGAGGCCCCGCCCGGCCCGGCCCGGCCCGCGGGGACCUGCGCGGCAGCUAAGGGGCUGA
rnacentral:lncRNA from 13 species